rnacentral:rRNA from 1 species
GACGAACCGUCCAAACGUUAUUCGGAAUCACUGGGCUUACAGAGUUCGUAGGCGGUCUGGAAAGUUGGGUGUGAAAUCCCUCGGCUCAACCGAGGAACUGCGCUUGAAACUACCAGACUCGAGGGAGAUAGAGGAAAGCGGAACUGAUGGUGGAGCGGUGAAAUGCGUUGAUAUCAUCAGGAACACCGGUGGCGAAGGCGGCUUCUGGGUCUUACCUGACGCUGAGGAACGAAAGCUAGGG